rnacentral:tRNA from 1 species
UCUAAUAUGGCAGAAUAGUGCAUUGGAUUUAAGAACCAAAUAUAAAGUAAAACUUUUUUUAGAA